rnacentral:lncRNA from 1 species
GUGGUAUAAAGUGUUGGGGCUCAAGAUCCUUCUAUUUUACUUUCCUCCAUCCCAAAAAGGUGGUCUUUGAUUGUGAGAUUUAAUAUGGCUCCACCAUGUCUGCAGCCCUCCAGUGAGAAGAGAAAGAGUGGAAAUGGAAAGCACUUGUCAAUCGAAACCAGAAGUAGCAUAUGUCAGUUGCCCUCCCUUCCCAUUGGCUGGAAUUUAGUCAUAUGGUCACUCCAAGUUGCAAGAAAGGUUGGGCAAUGGAGUUUUUAUUCUGAGUCCAAAAUACAUUUGGAACUUCUAUUUCCAAAGAACUCCCAACUAAUGACACAUUCCUGGAACUUUUGACAUUGAUGGGAAUGCCGGCAGCAGACUAGUUCUGUCUUGGUGACCCCAGCCAUUCUGGUUAUGGGCUUCCUGAAGGAGGUUGUCCCUCUCAGGACUUAGGACUGAGGAAAUCAAGGUUUGGUGGUCCCUAUGGUGAGGGCAUGCCAGGCUGUGAGGGUGCCUGAGCAGACAUCUUUGUAUCAGAUCUAGCCCCUGGAAAAGAGGUGCCUCCAUUCCCACGUUUCCCCACCCAACCAGGCCCUGCUUAACUGGCUCUCUCAAGCACCAGGAGCAGACACAGAUGUCAUCAGCGUCAUUGUUGCUGGCAUCCCUCUCCUUGACUGAGUGAGCCCCUGUCCUUUUCCUGCAGGCCUGUGUACCACGUUGAAGGGAAUGAGGGUUGCCAAGAAGGAAUAAAGUGCUCCUGGGAAAUUAGGAACUGAGGGGAGCCAGUUCUCAGGUGACUAGUGACCCCCCCCCUGUAGCCUGGUAGCCCAGAGUGGGAGAAGUAAAGGGACUGAUCUGGGCCUAUGACUUGGGAUAGGAAGCAUGGUAAAUAGGGGGGCAUCAGCAUAGGGGUUAACAGUUGAGAAGAAAUUGGGUGCUAGGCAAGCUUUGUGCAGCUGAUGUUUCACGCACCCUUAUUCCAGACCCCAUUUCUUUGUGCCCGAUUGUCACACUCUUCCUGGGAGCCUGUCCAGCACGUCCUUUUGAUAAACUUCCAUCCCAUGAUGCAACUGGAGUGAGUUUCUUAUAACUCAAAACUUCUGGGCUAGAACACAGAGGAUUCCAAUGUUGGUGGGUUUUAUUCCUGGAGAAUAUUUGCAGAGGUGGCCAGGGAGUACACAUCACAUGACACUAACUGCCUUCUGCUGAAGUGAUCUGUGUCCCUCCCUGCUCCUUGUGGCUCUGAUUAUGUGUUCACCCCCAGUGACCAGCACAGUGACUGGCAUAAUUUCUUCUGAAUUGUUGUCAAGUAGGAGGGUGGAAAGAAUGGGCUAAAUCCAGAGGUGGGAGAGGAAGAGAUAAAGCCAAAUGCUGCCAGAUGUUUGUGGGCUGUCUUAGGGGAGAGAGAGAGAGAGAGAGAGAGAGAGAGAGAGAGAGGAGAACCAUAGAUGGCAGCAGGAGGGGUGCCUACUGGGGUGUUUUGGGACAUGUAACAUGUCUUCAUUUGCUUCUGUGUCCCUCCAAGAGGUGGACGUCCACCUUGGAUUGGAAAGUGCUCAGAGGGUUCAGUUGGUUCCAUCCAGGGAUCUGAAGCCCCUCUUAGUGUUUUGAAAUAAACUUGUAAUUGAAGUGUAACAUAUACAUGGAAAAAUGCACACAGUAUCAGUGCAUACAGCUCCACGACUUUUCCAAAAGUCGACACACCCAUGCCACCAAUGUCAGAUCAAGAAACAGAACAUCACCCACACCACAGAGUCCUUCCACAGCCCCUCCCAAUUGUACUCCCCAGGGGCAGCUACUAUCUUGAUUUCUACCACCAUAAAUUUGAUUUGCCUAUUUUUGAACUUUAUAUAAAUGAUAUCAUAGAGUGUGUACAACAACUUUGGAAAACAGUUUGAAAAUAUCUAUUUAGGCUAAUCCUAUCCCUCCCAUGACCUUAGCAUUUCUCCCCUGGGUAUUUACUCAAGAAAACGAGGGCUUAUGUGACCAUGAGACUUGUACUAGAAUGUUCACAGAAACGCUACUCUCCGCCAGA